UCUUUAAGUUCGGGUUUUCUGUUCAGUCUUUGUUGGAUCGUUUUGUGUUGUUCCUUCUGCUAGUUCUGUUCAGCCCUGUUUACCUGUCCGUGACCAUUCACUAUUAAAAGAGUUUUUUCAUCAUAUCUGCAUUCCGGCCUCUGCGUUUGGGUCUGCUCCUGCAUCUCCUGAGCCCUGACAGUGAUUUGACUUUCAAGGGCUCAAGUGAAAAAUGCAUGCUGAGGUUCCUUGAGCAUCAAAGAAAUCUCGGACUAAAUCACUCACUCACCAGAAAGCAGCUAUUGUAUUGGAUCAAACUGACUGAGUGACAUUGCCCUUUGUACAGCAAUCAGAGUCUAGGAACAAAAUGUUCAUGAAAAUGAGAUGCACUCUGGCCCUUCGCAGUCUUCCGGUGUAUCAGUGUGAGGGGUCUCUGAGUUCUUCAAGACCAGCAGUGUAACUUCUCAGUACACUCACAGAAAUGUCAAUAUCUGUCAGUACAGUGUUGAAAUAACAUAUUGUAUGGGAAACGAACUUGAACACCUCCUGUAGCAUUCUCAAAAUUUAAGUAGAUUCAAGGAUAGGUUUGGACUUUUUCAAGUCUAUCUCAAUUCAAUAUUCAAAUGUAUAUCGACAAAGUUAUUAGUGGGUGGAAAUUAUUCGUCCUAUCUCCAUAAUAGCUGUAAAGCAGUCCUUUCCUAUCAGGUAGGAUGAGUCUCUAACCGGUCUGCAGAAUUACAUUGAGUGUGUUCUGCCAGUUAUCAAGUGGCUCCACAUGAUCACAGCUGAUGGAGGCCACUGUCCAGUGAGAGCUUGAUUCUAACUGAUGCUACCUGGAUGAGAUGUCCCAAACUGAUUUACUUCACAAUAGUUGAUGCUUCAUAUGAUGUCCACUGUCUGUGUAGAUUAGUCACUGCAUAAAUGCCUAUUUAAAAGAUGCCUGUUUUUUGUCUAGCUGUCAACAUAUCCACAUUUCUAUUUAUUUUUUGAGACAUUGAGUGUACAAACCUAUUGAUGAGGAGGUUCACUCAGUGCGACACCUGCUGGUCAUUUUUUGUAACUACUUUUGGCAUGCUUGCUGUUGGUUCUAUGCCAUUGAUCUCUGUAAUUGUUGAGAGCUCAUAGUACCCUAUUACCCCACUAGAAAACUGUGCUCCCAGAA